AUGGAGGUGGAGCCGGGGUCCAACGUAUGGGAGGACGCCCCCGACAACAUCCUCCUCCGCGUCGCCGCCUACCUCCCCUUCCGCCUCGACCGUCUCCGCAUGUCCCUUGUCAGCCCACACUGGCGCCGUGCCUUGUGCGGGCGGGGCCAGGGGCGCCCCCCGCAGCUCCCCCUUCUGCCGCCUCUGCCGCCCGUGCUCCCGUGGCUCGUCUUCCCCAACACCGAGGAGCCUUCCCUCUUCUGCGCCAUCGACCGCAUGAGGUACCCCCUCGGCCUCUCGCGCGACGUCCGCAACGCGCGCUUCUGCGGCUCCUGUGAUGGAGGCUGGCUCGUCCUCGCGCUCGACACGCGCCCCACGCAGUACGCUCUCUACAACCUCUACUUCGGGCAGCGCAUCCCCCUCCCUGGGGGUCUCGCCAUCCCUGACGGUGCCGGGAAUGUCCCCUUGGUCUUGCGCGCCGCCACGUUCACAUCCUCGCCGACGUCUCCUGGUCCCAAUGGCUACAUGAUCGGUGCCAUCGUUCUCGUCUGCUCCAAGUGGUGCGCCGCCUUCUGGCGAGAGGGAUUACCCAACUGGAUCACGUCCGAGUCAGAUGACGUGUGGAUGAGUCGGCCGCCGCAGGACGUCAAGUUUGCCGGUGGCGCCUUCUUCUUCGUCACCGCGGACGAGAAAAUCGUCAUGUACGUUCCAACGUUCGCCGGGGACGAGAACCAGUAUGUCAUGAGGCGCUACGACUGCGACAUGCUGCAGCGCGACGGCUACGCAGACGAUCUUCAAGGCAAUGCCAAGAUAGCGCGGUACCUCGUGGACUCCAGGGGUGUCCUGCACAUGGUCCUCAGGUAUAUCUACAACAACCAAGGGACGGCUAGGUUCCGGGUCUUCAAGUACCAGGUCCUGCCGCAGGUGGCCGACGACGUGCCCCCCACUGGUACCUGGCUGAGUGUGAGCGAGUUGGAUGGCCAGAUGCUGUUCCUGGGACAAGGCUGCUCCAGAUCCAUCGAGGUCGCGCAGUUCGAGGGGUUCGAGGGCUCCACAAUCUACUUCCCGGACGACCGCUUCAUCCCCGAUCCCGAGCCGACGGUGGACAACAGGAGGUCGUACUCCUUCAUCGACAUGGGCAAGUACUCAUUGCAGGGGGAGCAGGGGGCCGUCCAGCCCUGGCCUCCGGUGGAUCGUCGCCCGGCGAGGUCCGACAAGGCUCCUCCCACUUGGUGGCUCCAUUGA
rnacentral:rRNA from 1 species